rnacentral:rRNA from 1 species
GGCUCAGAUGAACGCUGGCGGCAGGCCAACACAUGCAAGUCGAACGGUAACAGGAGCAGCUUGCUGCUUGCUGACGAGUGGCGGACGGGUGAGUAAUGUCUGGGAAACUGCCCGAUGGAGGGGGAUAACUACUGGAAACGGUAGCUAAUACCGCAUAAUGUCGCAAGACCAAAGAGGGGGACCUUCGGGCCUCUUGCCAUCGGAUGUGCCCAGAUGGGAUUAGCUAGUUGGUGAGGUAACGGCUCACCAAGGCGACGAUCCCUAGCUGGUCUGAGAGGAUGACCAGCCACACUGGAACUGAGACACGGUCCAGACUCCUACGGGAGGCAGCAGUGGGGAAUAUUGCACAAUGGGCGCAAGCCUGAUGCAGCCAAUGCCGCGUGUAUGAAGAAGGCCUUCGGGUUGUAAAGUACUUUCAGCGGGGAGGAAGGGGUUAAGGUUAAUAACCUUAGCCAUUGACGUUACCCGCAGAAGAAGCACCGGCUAACUCCGUGCCAGCCGCCGC